rnacentral:rRNA from 1 species
AGCAGCCGCGGUAAUUCCAGCUCCAAUAGCGUAUAUUAAAGUUGUUGCAGUUAAAAAGCUUGUAGUUGAAUUUCGGGGUCAGUAGAUUGGUCGUGCCACUGGUAUGUACUGGUCUCACUGGCUCCUCCUUCCUGAUGAACCGUAAUGCCAUUAAUUUGGUGUUGCGGGGAGACUGGACUGUUACUUUGAAAAAAUUAGAGUGUUUAAAGCAGGCUAACGCUUGAAUACAUUAGCAUGGAAUAAUGAAAUAGGACGUUCGAUCUUAUUUUGUUGGUUUCUAAGAUUGACGUAAUGAUUAAUAGGGAUAGUUGGGGGCAUUAGUAUUCAAUUGUCAGAGGUGAAAUUCUUGGAGAUAU